GAUGAACGCUGGCGGCGUGCCUAAUACAUGCAAGUCGAGCGAUUGGAUUAAGAGCUUGCUCUUAUGAAGUUAGCGGCGGACGGGUGAGUAACACGUGGGUAACCUGCCCAUAAGACUGGGAUAACUCCGGGAAACCGGGGCUAAUACCGGAUAACAUUUUGAACCGCAUGGUUCGAAAUUGAAAGGCGGCUUCGGCUGUCACUUAUGGAUGGACCCGCGUCGCAUUAGCUAGUUGGUGAGGUAACGGCUCACCAAGGCAACGAUGCGUAGCCGACCUGAGAGGGUGGUCGGCCACACUGGGACUGAGACACGGCCCAGACUCCUACGGGAGGCAGCAGUAGGGAAUCUUCCGCAAUGGACGAAAGUCUGACGGAGCAACGCCGCGUGAGUGAUGAAGGCUUUCGGGUCGUAAAACUCUGUUGUUAGGGAAGAACAAGUGCUAGCUGAAUAAGCUGGCACCUUGACGGUACCUAACCAGAAAGCCACGGCUAACUACGUGCCAGCAGCCGCCGUAA
rnacentral:rRNA from 1 species